UCGGGAAUUUUCGGCAAUGGGGGGAACCCUGACCGAGCAACGCCGCGUGAGGGAAGAAGGUCUUCGGAUCGUAAACCUUUGUCAUCAGGGACGAUCAUGACGGUACCUGAGGAGGAAGCCACGGCUAACUACGUGCCAGCAGCCGCGGUAAUACGUAGGUGGCGAGCGUUGUCCGGAAUUACUGGGCGUAAAGGGCGUGUAGGUGGCCUUUUAAGUCAGGCGUGAAAACCCACGGCUUAACCGUGGGCCUGCGCUUGAAACUGGGGGGCUUGAGGGCAGGAGAGGAAAGCGGAAUUCCCAGUGUAGCGGUGAAAUGCGUAGAUAUUGGGAGGAACACCAGUGGCGAAGGCGGCUUUCUGGACUGACCCUGACACUGAGGCGCGAAAGCCAGGGGAGCGAACGGG
rnacentral:rRNA from 1 species